rnacentral:snRNA from 1 species
GAAUGUGAGGGCAAGCUGGAUGCGACAUCUGUCACCCCAUUGAUCGGCCAGGGUUGAUUUGGCUGAUCUGGCUGACUAGGCAAGUGUCCCCUUCCUCCCUCAUUGCUCCAUGUGCGUCCCUCCUGAAGCUAUGCACUCGGUCGAAGAGGACGACCUUCCCCAAAUAGAGGAGGACUCAUAUUUAGUCAAGGGUAUAGGAGUAGCCAUGCUCCCCAGCUGGCAAGCCCUCAAAGAAUGAGCUGGGCGGGUCAGUCAGCUCUACCCACACCUCUCGGCUCUGUUCCUGCCG